rnacentral:tRNA from 1 species
GGGGUAAGUUUGGGGUAGAGUUUCCUGAAAAACGCUAGAAGUCUUAUCAGCCAAGAAACCUAAACAGACUUAAAAUCCGUUGACCGAAUAAGUCGUGAGGGUUCAAGUCCCUCCGCCCCCA